GGGGACAGCCCCACGAAAGAGCCACCCUUCUGUCAUCACGGCCGCUUCUCCCUUGUCACAGGAUAAUAGCCAGAGCUGGGGGCCCUAACCUGAACACACCACUGUCUGCUGACUGUCGCUGUGGCUGAGCCACCCCAGACCAUAUUUUCUUGAGCUUGCAGCCUUGGAGAUCCUGUGGGGCCAGCAGAAGUGUCUGUGGUAGCCACCUAAGCAUCACUUCUCCUGGCCAGUCCUGACUCUGGCUCCAUGACAGGUAUGUUCCCAAGGCACUACCCAGUAGGACUCUUGCAUGCCAGCCUUAGUGUCUCCAGACCUCUUCCCUUUAGGAACUCAAUCCUGCAAUGAUAAGAAAAGCAGAGAACGUAAUAAGGGCUCAAAUGCAUUCCAACAAAUUAUGUGGCCUCCAUCUCUCCCGUCUCCCUGGUCUUGAUUUUCUAAACCCUUCAAGGAGUGUGUGUUUGCCCCCAAACAGUCCCUGGGUUUCUUUUAAGAAACAACAUUCUCAGAUUCUAAACAAAGAACAGAAGGAUGGGUACACAGAGGAACAGAAGCUAGCCCCAUCCGCCAGCAUCUCCAUCGCUGUCCAGGUAUCACAAACGUGUGUUCCCUCGGGUCCAGUACAAAAGGCAAGUGAGCCAACCUUGGCUAUGAAGAACAGGAGAGGGCCAUAGAGGGUGGCUCUUUCUCUGCUGGGAUCUAGCACAAGUUCCAGUAACAAGGUGGGAAGGGAAGUGCCCUGGGUGACCCAAGAUUCUUUUCCCUCCGCAUGCUGCCAGACUCCAGACAUUGAUAGCCCUGGGAAAGACAGGCAGUUCGGCUCCAUUCUCUCACAGGUCGGCAUCAUCCUUGGUUAUCCGUCCACAUCUCACAUAGGAGCUGGGGUCUUAUUUGUCAGCAACGCAACAGCACCUAGCCCAGUACAGAUAAAUUGAAUGUCUCCUGUCCUUGUGAAGACAACCUCGGAGAAUUUUCUAAAAGGGAUGGCUUGAAGGAAAGUUUGCCUUUAGAAUACUGAGACGUCUGCUGUGCCUCCUCCAUGAAACAGGUAAGCGAUGAAGCAACGAUAGAAAAGCUUGCCUGGAAUUCAUUAGACCAAGUCGCUGCAGAACUGUUUGCUCGGGGCACCCUCUAGUGGUGUCUUGGAGUAACUGCUUCUGCUCUGCCAGCGCCUGACAUUACAGUUCAUAGCCAUAGUUCAAUAUGUCAUAACUGAGACAUGGAGUACCACCCCCCCCACACACACACACACAAUCAGAAUCCACAGAACCUACUCCCCAGUGGUUUGUAUGUGUGCUAAGUCUUAGAAAUGCUGGAUGCACGUGGAGAAUAUGCCAUCUGUAAUGCCAGAACCAUUUCUUGAGUGUCUGCCCUGGGAAGUGGAAACCCUGCCAUAAACAUCAUCGUUUCCAUAAAGAAUUGUUUACGUAAAACCUGAUAAUGGCCACAGUGAGUCUCUCACUUUUAAGAGAUUUAUUUUAUGCCCGUUACACUGUGACUAUCUGCUUUGCUAAAAUGUGUGUCUGCUGGGAUCCUGGUGUGAUUGCUCUUCAAUGGACAGACAGACAUCAUAGUGACCACGAGAUGACAAUCCCAGGUUCAUUGAGUCUACCUCACCUCCAAGACCCCAAAACACUGUCUAUUCAAUUGUAUUUGGAUUUGGGGGGCACUAAUUUUGUUUCAAUGCUAGCAAUUGGAACCAUUUUCAUAUGUUUCUUUGGGUUCACUUCACAUGUCCUUCCCAAAACAUGGGCAGACUGUGCUUU